CCUCUACCUGUACACAGGACAGCACAACACAGAAAAACACGGACAAACAUCCAUGGCUUGAGUGGGAUUCGAACCCACGGUCCCAGCGACCAAGCGGCACAUGGCCCACACCUCAGACCGCGCGGCCACUGCGGACCCCUGGUUGCAUAUUAUCUGCUAGCUUUUAAGCCCAACGUUUCUGAGUCUGUCUAUAUGGUGAUGGAGGCAGAGAAGUUAGAAACUUUUUAAUAUGAAUGAAAUUAAUAUCACAACAGGUCUGAACGAUAAGAAAUCGGACGACGGGAGCGGAAGUUUUUUGGGAAGAGGAGAAUGUAUUUCGAAAUAUUUACCUUAAUCAGAAUUCUUAUAGUUCUAUAACAGUGUGUGUGUGUGAAAGUUUUAUGAUUUAUGGACACAUAAAAUAGCAUUUUUUCUGAGGAUCGAUACUAUGUCUUACAUUGUGCAGUACAAGUAAUGACUAACAAGUCUGUUUGUCACUGGUACAUUUAGACUUUGUAUUUGAGGUUUUCAGAGUAAUUUAAGUAUAGACGUUCUUCUUAUCACCUUGUGAUCUUUAGGCUGUAUACUAAUGUUUUAGAACAACAUACUGCCCCCAUCUUCAGGGCUAAAGUGAGGUGGGUUAGGAAGUGGAUAGUUUAUCUACGGUUAGGGAUUGGCCAGUCUGAGGCAUGGAAUGAGGAUGGGAGAUGGAGUUAUGUCUGGGAGAAGGAAGCAGUGCACUCCUCCAAAACUUAGGUAUAGAGCCACAAGAUCACUAUCUAUACAUUCAGUUAUGUUUCUUUACAAUACACAAAUUACUGUAAAGACCUCAUCCACAUCUAACAUUUGCAGUGGAUAAUUAUGCACGAUAGGAAACAAAAUAAAGUUGCUACAUGUCACGUCUUCUGAGGUCCUGCGUUUGUAACACAGAUGUUCCUCCACAUUUAUGAUGGAUGAAGCAACCAACACCUAAAGCUAGUUUCUUUUCCUUUUCUCACCACUUGCACCGUUAACCAGCUUAUGAAAUGGGAAGGAGAAGAAAAGCAAUAAUGUUUAGCACAAAUUAUUUAUCUGCUAAAACAAAAUGAAUAAUCAAACAAAAAAGAAGCGGUAAUCUGAACAACAUUAUUGUUCUAGUUAUAUUGUAAAUAAAUAUGGCCUUUACAAAAUA